CCACCGGCCCCCUGUCGCCCAUUGUCGCUUUGUUCACAUUCCUUCCUAUUGUUCGCAAGCCAGCAUCCCGGUGCUUCGCCAUUUUUCUUAACAAAAGACUUUGUAUCCAGUCACAGUAAAACAGGUCUCCAGGUGUUGUGUGUAUCAAUCAGCCCACUGGAGAUAUAUCAAUCUUUUAAUAAAUUAUAAGGUCCCCACUGCUUGAUACUUCACCAAAUACUGGCUACACCAGAAAAUGACUAAAUGUUCUUAACACCUAAUAACUACCACAAGCAUUACUUCUGGAUCACUCUGAAGGGUCUAAUCGUUCAAUUACUGAAUUGAUAAAGUUGAUGAAAUUGCUCAAAAGUUGUCUGGCACCUUCUUAACUCAGAGACAUAGGAAUGUGGAUGGAUUAUGACAUACCUUGCACAAAUCAACAACCAGGCUUUUAUUGGAUUUGAAUCCCAAAGGAAAGAGAAAGUUUGUUUUCCAAAACAAACAUGGAAAAUAUCAGAAACCAACAAAACACAAGCAGGCAGAGUGUUAUGGACCCAACUUUGGGGAAUCUCCUAAAACCAAGUAUAAAAAUAGAGAGGUGUGGUUGUGUCUCUCAGCUCCACAAGGGUCCACAAGAAUGAGGACAACAGUGAUUUUCGUAAUAAUUUUAGAUCAGAUUUAAAAAAAAAUUUGAUCAGAUGGAUCAGGUUAACAGUUUAAUACAUAUUGCAUUUAAGUGCUUUAUGAAAAGAAAAGAUGCUCUUACCAAAAUAGUCUAAGAACAAUGCUGAUUUUAAAUUAAUAAAUUGUUUACUUUUGUAAUAAUAUAAUAAUUUAAGUUGGCAUUGUAUGUAUGUUUAGUGUAGAUUUAAUGCCCUAAAUUAAAUAUACAAUUGACAUUUUUUUCUUUAAAGAAAUAGUUGCAAAUUUCUUUCAUUAUUUAGUUUCACUGUACAAUCUGAAAAAAGCUUGCAACAUUUGUAUUGACAAUACUUCUGCUGGUGAUAUUUAUUUCUAAUUAAUGAAGUAAAUUAAUAUAUAUUCAGUUUACUAUAAUUAAAUACCUCAUACUCGAGACAAAAAAACAUUUAUUGAAUAUCGCAGUGAUAUUCCUGUUCUACACAAUGCGUAUAAACCCUCGAACCAUCUGUCUUUUGAAAGAUUGUACAUUUUGUAUACCCAAUGGCAUUCAUUUCAACACUAUUUAACCACAAUUAUAAUCUAGAGAUCCUGAACAUAUUUUCGUUCUGUUAUUUAUGGACAAGGCAGACUGGUCCAGCAUUAAAAUGUAAACCUUAAUUAGAAUACUUAAACGAGCUAUGCAAUUAAAUGUUGUUAGACAAAUAUUUUAUACUUUUUAUUUUUAAUGUUAUGUUUACGUAUCAUAGUACAAGACAGCUUCUGUAUUCUUGUACAGUAAAUUAAGUUUUUACAUUAGUUUAAUUUAAACUGUAGGCCUGCUUAACAUCUGUUACAUUAUAUGAAAAUGUUUUGUAUAUUUGUUUUAAUUUGUUUGUAUAAAAGUCAAAAUGAAAGUUACUACACUAUUAUUUACAUAUUCUUUUUCAAUCAAUACUUUAUAGUAUAGUUAUAAUUUUCUUACAAUUGAAUGGAUGGUAUAAUACAGAUUUUAAUAGAUGAGCAGUUCUUGUGUAUGUAUUGCUGCUUUACUACAUUUUGAUUAAAAUUUCUUUCAC